CCGGCCCAGGCAGUCGUUGCAGCCCGACUGAGCCCGGAACUCCUCUUCCCUCACGGCCACGGACGGCUGCGUUCCGGCGGGACGGGACUCGGCCUUCGCUGGGCUCCGCUGCUCUGUGUUUCCCACGCCUCGCUCUCUUCUCCUUUCUUUUCCUUUCCUUUCCUCUCCUCUCCGGCGCUGUUGGUCUCUCCGAGCGGCGACGUUGGCGCUGAGUCACCUCCCGGGCUGCUGCUCCCGGCACAUCCCGGGACGGCGCUCAGCCCUGCGGGCAGCUCUGGGCACAGACGGAGCCGUCGGAGCCGCCGGCAGGAGAACGGCCGACUCUUCCCAGCAGAGCAGGUGGGGCCGAUGCCUUCUGGGCUCUUUGUUCUGAGUUCAGGCCUUGCCAUUUCUCUGGAGGUACAUGGGGGAACUGGGAAGCUGUUUUCUUUUCCAUGCUGACCCUGACAGUACAGGAGCUGAAAUACUUUCCUUCCCUGUUACCUCAUUUCUGGAUCGCUACAAUUAAACUGGAGAUGAUAUCAGGAAGCUGUUGAUGAACAGUGUCUUUGUGAACACCCAGCUGUAAGGCUUUUUUUUUUUUUUUUUUUUUUCCCUGAAAUUGAUUUCUCCUCCUUGGGAGAUUUGUUUGCGAUUCUUUAGCUUUAUUCUCCUCUGCUUUAGUUUCUGUUCUCCGCUGCUGUUUACUUCUGUUCUCCUUUGCUUCAUAUGCAACUUCCAAACGUGGGACUUUGCAGAUAACACCUCUCCACUCUCAUCCUUGUAUGGCCCCCAACGGCUUUGCCCCUUUGUCACUAUCUAUAAUAUACACUCCUAAGGCAGAAGCAGGUCUGUAUUUAUUGAUGUAAUUCUGAUAUGCUGUAGUGAUUUAGCAGUGAUGAAACAAGACUGGCAAUGGCUGGAUACACUUGGUUAUUUCCUGCAUAGAGGAUAGGGUUACACACACACACCUACAGGAGAACUUCCUGUUGAGUCACGAGGCUCAGAGUAGUUCUCUUCCUAUCUGAACUGUUCAAACCACAGAUGUAAGGAGCCUGCAAGUGGCUGGAUCCAGUCCUCAUCCCAGGCUUGGUCAGGGCUUUUUGUGGAAGGAAUCAUGUCUCUCUAAGACAUAACCUCAGAGGAGCUCUGAUAGCUCCAAAGUAACCAUGAGUCUCUUCCAGAAUAUCUCUGUCAGGAAGGAGUCUUGGCAUCAAGGUGCAGGUGUGCAGGUGUGACCUCGAGAGACAUCCCUACUUGAGGGGAGAUCCCGUUGUGCAGCACACUGCUGUGCAGGAGAACUCGAAGGGCACCUGGGCUGCUCCCUGUUUUGGGGCUCCAGUUCAACUCCGCCUUCCAGCCAUGAUCAUCUCAGCUACAGGAGAGCAGCAGAUGGCCACAGCACAUGUAUCUCAGG